rnacentral:misc_RNA from 1 species
GAUGAAGAACGUAGCGAAAUGCGAUAAGUAAUGUGAAUUGCAGAAUUCAGUGAAUCAUCGAAUCUUUGAACGCACAUUGCGCCCCUUGGUAUUCCGAGGGGCAUGCCUGUUCGAGCGUCAUUAUAACCCCUCAAGCUCAGCUUGGUGUUGGGGCCUGCUGCACUGGCAGCCCUUAAAAUCAGUGGCGGCGCCAUCUGGCUCUAAGCGUAGUAAUUCUUCUCGCUAUGGAGUCCUGGUGGAUGCUUGCCAUCAACCCCCAAUUUUUCUAUGGUUGACCUCGGAUCAGGUAGGGAUACCCGCUGAACUUAAGCAUAUCAAUAAGCGGAGGA